rfam:Camelus ferus unplaced genomic scaffold scaffold394, whole genome shotgun sequence.
GAGGGUAUAGGUCAUUGGUAGAGUGUGUGCUUAGCAUGCAUGCGGUCCUGGGUUCAAUCCCCAGUACUUCCA